CAAAACCAAGUCGCAUAGUUAUAAUACCAUAUUUCUAUACCUAUGGAGCUCCGCGCGCGGCCUACGGCCGCGCUGGCUCCGCUAUUAUUUUAAUUAAUUGAUUUUUCAGUGACAUGUGAUAUUAAAGCAUGCACAGUUUACGGGAGGUUUUUACUUUGCGAGGAGGCUACUAACGAUGCUUGUACCUCCCACGAUCCAAUAUCCAUUGGCGCGCAUCUCGGUCAGCGUCAUCCCUUGACCUUGCUGCUUCAGGGCCUCUUUUAAGUUGCGAACAACUAACUCUGUCACUAGUCUAUUCCUUGGCAUAAUCAUAGGGAAAUUUGCUUACUCUGUUAGCUCAGGGGCACGUUGUAGACGACCACGACUUUCAAGAUUUUUUUCGUCUAGAAAGGGAUCUAACUUGUAAAGUGAGCUCGUUCUACUAGUAUCGACUUUCGAGGUCCUGUGCACAGAGACCAUGUGGCGCAUGAUCGGCAGGGCGCUGUUUCAUGUCUACGUAACGGCAUUGAUGAAUUGACGUUCCAUCUUGGAUUUGCUGCACUCUAUUGGCAACGAACGUGUAAAAUCUUCUGCUCUUGUUGGAAAUAUAUCCUGAAACGAUGUUUCAAGUAUUUUAAUUUUUUGCCCGUGGAAAUUGUAACGGUAAAAAGAAACUAAAAUUCGCCAACAAGUCCUAUCAAACGGCUCAAUACUAACAUAAUGAUAAAUUUAAUUCUAGCCUUAUCUUUACUUGUCGUGAACAAGGUUGCCCAGUGGUUGUUAGGUCUAGUUGGUGUCUUCAAGGUCACAGGUUCAAUUCCCUCGAAAUCCUUAAUUUUUGUUUUCUAUUUUUUUCUUUUUUUCUAUAUUUUUAUUAUACCGAGAAUACUGAAAAAGUAACAUAUCUGAAAAUAUUUGAUAACAUUCUAUCAAUGUUGAAAUGAAAGCUCAGUAUAAUGUAAGCAAUACAUCGCAUAUACUAUAACUUGAAAUUAAGUGAAGACAAUCAAAUUUUAUUAUGUACAAAUUUCAUUCUACAGAUGCUUAUGCCCAUUUCUCAAUGGAAAAAUAUAUCAAAGCUUCUUGGUAAUCCCACCAGUUCCAGGUAAUUCCUGCAGAGAAACUUUUUUGGAGUUUCUUGAUGUAAUCCUUUCCCGCAACUGCCUAAAGGAUAGUCUCUUGUAAACGCAUUGGUACACUCUGGUUAAAACGGGUGUGAACACACACUAUAGUUAGUUCAAUACCUUUUUAGUAAACUUAUAGAGAUAUUAACCUCUCUGACCCCUGUUCUUGCUUGUGCUCCUCUCUUAAUGGUAGCUGAUACCCUUUUUUGCCUAGCCUUUCUUUUGCAAGAUAUUUUGCCAGAACAGGUUGUUAAAUGAUCAAUUUUCUCACAUAGUUAUAUUUUUAUAUUUAUGGACUAUUUGACCUAUAUUACUCAAUAUGUUAAUGCCUUGUUUUGGAAUGGUUCAAAUUCAUGCAAUGGCGGACUUGAAAUGAGCAAAUUAAAUUAGGCGGGUUUGAUCCUUGGCCCACAACUGGGGCACAACUGUGAUUCACACAAAUCCGAAUUACCUUUCCCAAUUUCAGGAUGAAUUACUGACGUUGCUCACAUACUAUCUGGUAUGCUAGCCACUGAAAGGCACAGCUGACAAAGCACACCCCAAGUAUACACUGGGGAAACCGAGCGACAGCACGGCUUUUCCGGAAGCUUUCUAGGGACGAUUUCCUGAGGGCGUUUUUUCUAGGGGGCUUUUCUGGGGGUGGUUUUCGAGAGUUUGUUUUGCAGUUUUGCAUAAUCCUACUAGUUUUAUCGCUAAUAUAUCAAAAUUAAAUAAAUACAAAUAUUAGAUGCAGUUCUAGAGUAGAUCUCAAUAAUUUAUAAAAAAUUUAUAAAAAAAAGUGUAAUAAACUGCAAUAUAGAUUACGCUAAAAAUAUUUACUAAAAUUAGUUUACUAUCAAACUGAAAUGAUACUAACGUGAUCCAACAGCGACAACUUUCCGUGUAAAGGUGUGAAUUUUACGCGGGCCAUAUCAAAACCACUUCUUCCUCCAACUUUAACCACCUUCCCUGUGUGCUUGGGGUGUUUGCACGUAGUUGGAGGUCUCCAGAAUCUCCCAUUGUCUCCCUUCUUUUUACCCACCAACUCUUGACCAAACCCCUCCCCCAUCUUUUUUACCCACCCACACCUGGCCAAAGCCCUCCUCCAUCCUCGGCCUCUCAUGAAUGAUUUCUAGUGCGUUGAGGCUGACUUUGAUCCAUUCUUCCUGCCACCUUUAUACCUCGCUUGCGGCGGGCUGUUUUCUUCUUUUCUUUCAAUCCAAUAGAUUUUGUUUUUGCGAAAAUUGAAUCCUACUCGUCCUUCCCUUUAUCGUCUUAUGUAGUCCCUUCUCUGCUUAAUGCAGAAAUUAUCUUAACACAUAGGAGCAGCAUUCCUAGGUCAAACUCCUUUUCCUCCUCUUCCUCCAUUCUCAGCCUCUCAUGGAUGAUUUCUAGUGCGUUGAGGCCGGCUUUGAUCCAUUCUUCUCUUAAGCAAGGAUGCGGAGGCAGUCUGUUCCUUGGUCUCCAGCGGCGGUGUCUUUUAUACCUCGCUUGCGGUGGGCUAUUUUCUUCUUUUCUUUCUAAUAAAUAGAUUUCGAAUCUUACUCGCCCUUCCCUUUUUUAUAAUCCCUUUUCUGCUUAAUGGAGAAAUAUGUCUUAACAAGUAGAGCUGGAGCAGCAUUCCUACUACUGCCACCGCUAUAAGGCAGUAGUCCACCAUUUCCUUAGCUUCCUGUUUCAUCGUGCUAUCGUAGCAUGGACUUUGAUUCUGGGCUGAAACAAUGUAAUCUUACAACAUGAAAACACGAUUACAGGUUAUCUUCGAAGAAGUUGUCAAGGUGGAAUGAGGAGUUUGGGAAUGCAGGAAUCGACAGCCUGUCCUUGGACAUCAUAUUUAAUGAUGUCUUUUAUUUUUUUUAAGGUUGCAGUUGAUUGCUCUAAUAGCUAGGAAAAAUAUGGUUGGUGAAGGUUGACAUCCAAAAUGUCCUUAUCCCCAUCUCGCAUGCAGAUCUGCACAGUUGCUUCUCUUUUGCAUUCAGAAUACUUUGCCGUGUUUCACACUGAUAGAGUCCAAGAAUACAUCGUCAAGUCUCUUGCGGCCAACCUUGCCAGAAGUGUGAACUAGGAGCCUUGACGCAAACUUCAGCGGUUCUGCUUUGACAUUUCUGUUCACGAUUUGAAGUAAAUGAGGGCCUAAAAUCUUCCCAAUUGAUUGAUUGGCAGAGCUUAGUGUAGUGGAUGGCGAGGUGGUGGGUUUAUGCUUUAUACAUCCUGACAAUACGAUGCUCUAAAAGAUACGUGUUCCCGUCUUUCAGUUCAUCUAUAAAUGAGCCCCAGAUCUUGAGGAGUACAGCACAGGUGUAUCUUGAUUGAUACAAUCUUCCUUAACAUGUAAUUUGUCUGGUGUUUGUUUUCCUCGGUUCGUACAGAGUUCCUAAAACAUUGACUUUUUUCUUGUUAAUAUCGCCGAAGUAUAAAUUCAAGGACAAAAGUGUGGUUUUGGUAUGUUUAUUGUGCAGUAGGCGCUGCACUAUAUCUAAACGUUACUCUUAUUAGCUGAAAUUGGAUGCCAUCAAUUAACAUUGUAAUUUUGUAACUAUGAGCUAAUGGAAAUCAUGCUUGCGACUUUCAUAAGGCAACAAUAUGGUCUGAAUGUUAAAUAUUAUAUUUAUUCAUUUGUUUUAGACUAAUGAAAUGGCUUCAUACUGUUCGCGCGCACAUGACGCGCCAAGACGCUUUAACUAGGUCCCAGUAGGCUCGCAUAUAAGACAGGUAUGCUUGGUGGAUCCCGAUGAAUUUGCUGUAGAGGUGAGCAGAGCAAUCGUGGUCACCAAGAUCACUAAGCUGGUGGACCAAUCUCGGGUUAUCGGCGAAAUAAGAAAUCUUCAUUCCAUCUUGUUGAAAUUGACUUACCCAAAUGCGCACAGCUAUGUCACCGUAAGGAUGGCACACAAGUGAAGUAUUGCGGCUUUUGAUUUCCCCUCAAACUUAUUGUCGAGUAUUAAAAAGCCUUCGUCUAUCCUUGCUACACCUUGGCCAAAGUGAAGCCAUCCCCAGUACAAAAACUCCUCGUGCUUCCUUUCUUAUUAUCAAAGUAAAGAUGAUUAAGGCAGAUGAAGUAGUCAUCAUCUGUCCUCAAGAAGAAUUUGAAAUCAUUGCGCCCGUACGCCCAAAA